rnacentral:rRNA from 1 species
AAUUUUGGACAAUGGGGGAAACCCUGAUCCAGCCAUCCCGCGUGUAUGAUGAAGGCCUUCGGGUUGUAAAGUCCUUUUGGCCGCGAAGAAAAGGUACCUCUUAAUACGAGGUACUGCUGACGGUAUCUGCAGAAUAAGCACCGGCUAACUACGUGCCAGCAGCCGCGGUACUACGUAGGGUGCAAGCGUUAAUCGGAAUUAUUGGGAGUAAAGCGUGUGUAGGCGGUUCGGAAAGAAAGAUGUGAAAUCACAGGGCUCAACCUUGGAAAUGCAUUUUUAACUGCCGAGCUAGAGUAUGUCAAAGGGGGGUAGAAUUCCACGUGUAGCAGUGAAAUGCGUAGAUAUGUGGAGGAAUACCGAUGGCGAAGGCAGCCCCCUGGGAUAAUACUGACGCUCAGACACGAAAGCGUAGAGAGCAAACAG